rnacentral:rRNA from 1 species
UACGUAGGGACCGAGCGUUGUCCGGAAUCAUUGGGCGUAAAGAGCGUGUAGGCGGCCACUUAAGUCCUGCGUGAAAUCUUGCGGCUCAACCGCAAGCGGUCGUGGGAAACUGGGUGGCUAGAGUGCGGGAGAGGAGAGUGGAAUUCCUGGUGUAGCGGUGGAAUGCGCAGAUAUCAGGAAGAACACCCGUGGCGAAGGCGGCUCUCUGGAACGCAACUGACGGCUGAGACGCGAAAGCGUGGGGAGCAAACAGG